rnacentral:rRNA from 1 species
AUGAUGGGCUCCUCGGGCUCCGGCAAUGGCUCCCGCCACCUCGACCCGGGCCGCGUCCACGAGCUCGUCAUGCGCCGCAAGCCGUACGACCUCCUCCACUACCUGAAUUCCAUACCCGGGGCGUCCGAGGACCCGCACUGCCGCCAGAUCAAAUACGUCGCGGAGACUCUCCUGCUGCUCAUGCGAAGAGGUUUGGUUCCCGGAGACAAGACGCUGAUCGUGGAUUGGGCCCGAAACGCAUGGCUGAACGCGACCCAAAGCAGACUUUUUUCAUCCCAGAUGGUUGGUGGUGGUCCAUCCAAUUUUACUUCAGAUGCAGGUUAUAAUAUGCAUCCACACAAUUCAAGUUCAUAUUCUGGAAGGAUGUUGACCAAUGAACCUGGCAGUAAUGACUUCAGACAUGCUGCAAUGCAUAAUCAAUUAUCUGCUUCUAACCCAAGGAAUCAUACUGCAACAUUUCCUCCACAGCAAGCAAACUCAACUGAUGCAUAUGUUCCAUUGCGGAAUAAUUCUAAGCUUGGUCAUGAUAUGCACCCACACAAUUCAAGUUCAUAUUCUGGAAGGAUGUCGACCAACGAACCUGGGCUCAGAGAUACUGCAACGCAUAAUCAAUUAUCUGCUUCUUACUCACGGAAUCAUACUGCAACAUUUCCUCAACUGCAAUUAAACUCGAAUGAUGUGAUGCUUGAUGAAACAUUUGCCUUUAACCCUGGAACUCAUGCUUCAGCAUAUGUUCCAUCAGGGGGUUAUUACACACUUGGUCAUAAGAUGCACCCACAAAAUUCAAAUUCAAAUUCUGGAAGGAUGUUGACUAACAAACCUGGUAGUAAUGGGCUCAGAGAUACUGCAACGCAUAAUCAAUUAUCUGCUUCUUACUCACAGAAUCAUACUGCAACAUUUCCUCAACUGCAAUUAAACUCGAAUGAUGUGAUUCUUGAUGAAACAUCUACCUUUAACCCUGGAACUCAUGCUUCAGAAUAUGUUCCAUCACGAGGUUAUUAUACACUUGGUCAUAAUAUGCACCCACACAAUUCAAGUUCAUAUUCUGAAAGGAUGUUGACCAACGAACCUUGUAGUAAUGAGGUCAGAGAUGCUGCAAUGCAUAAUCAGUUAUCUGCUUCUAACUCAAGGAAUUAUACUGCAACUUUUCCUCCAGUGCAGGCAAACUCGAAUGAUGUGCCGCUUGAUGAAACAUCUGCUUUUAACUCCGGAACUCAUGCUUCAGCAUAUGUUCCAUUGCGGGAUAAUCCUACACUUGCACAAGCAUUCAAUGAACUCUUGGAUAAUAUUUUUUCGCCACAAAAGCAUGGUACAGGGACGGUCGGACCACUAUGGCCGUGCCACCCUGGGUCAGAGCAGAAAAGAAAAGUGCUGCCCACAGUAGAUAUCAAAGGAAAGAGACCUGCAUCGAUGAAGGUGACGACGCUGAGGUUGAACGUUGCUUCUUUGGUUGCAGAGGAUGGAAUUAAUAGUGCUGCAGGGGUGUUGAUUAGGAAUGGCAGCACGGCACAAUUCGUCGGUGCAUCAUGCUUUAGUCCGAUACUACGCAGGGAGCCAGCUCUUCUGCUUGCAGCUGCUUGUUGCAAAGGGAUCAAAAUCGCUCUGUCCUAUCAACCAGCUAGUAUCACGCUGGAGUCCCAUCUGCUCCCUCUGCUCAACCCGCUAUACGCCUCUUCGGAUCAACCGCCAGAUGUAGUGCAGCUGAAAGAAUUCCUGAGCCAGGGAUACCCACAUUUCGUAGUCCGGGACAUUCCAGAAGAAUCCAAUCGUGCUGCUUGUGAGUUGGCUCUCAAUGUUUUGCACCUACGGGAGUCCUAUAUGUUCUUCAAUGAUCCGCCAGAAUGGCUUGUCCCUUACCUAGAUCAGUGA